rnacentral:rRNA from 1 species
AGUGAACGCUGGCGGUAGGCCUAACACAUGCAAGUCGAACGGCAGCACAGUAAGAGCUUGCUCUUACGGGUGGCGAGUGGCGGACGGGUGAGGAAUACAUCGGAAUCUACUUUUUCGUGGGGGAUAACGUAGGGAAACUUACGCUAAUACCGCAUACGACCUACGGGUUAAAGCAGGGGAUCUUCGGACCUUGCGCGAUUGAAUUAGCCGAUGUCGUAUUAGCUAGUUGGCGGGGUAAAGGCCCACCAAGGCGACGAUCCGUAGCUGACCUGAGAGGAUGAUCAGCCACACUGGAACUGAGACACGGUCCAGACUCCUACGGGAGGCAGCAGUGGGGAAUAUUGGACAAUGGGCGCAAGCCUGAUCCAGCCAUACCGCGUGGGUGAAGAAGGCCUUCGGGUUGUAAAGCCCUUUUGUUGGGAAAGAAAAGCAGCAGGUUAAUACCCCGCUGUUCUGACGGUACCCAAAGAAUAAGCACCGGCUAACUUCGUG